GACGAACGCUGGCGGCGUGCUUAACACAUGCAAGUCGAACGGAGAUAUCCUAAUAGUAAUAUGAAGAUAUCUUAGUGGCGGACGGGUGAGUAACACGUGGGUAACCUGCCCUAUGGAGGGGGAUAACACAAAGAAAUUUGUGCUAAUACCGCAUAACAUAACGAUAUCGCAUGGUAUUGUUAUCAAAGAUUUAUUGCCAUAGGAUGGACCCGCGGCCCAUUAGCUAGUUGGUGAGGUAACGGCUCACCAAGGCGACGAUGGGUAGCCGACCUGAGAGGGUGAACGGCCACAUUGGAACUGAGACACGGUCCAGACUCCUACGGGAGGCAGCAGUGGGGAAUAUUGCACAAUGGGGGAAACCCUGAUGCAGCAACGCCGCGUGAGCGACGAAGGCCUUCGGGUCGUAAAGCUCUGUCUUAGCUGACGAUAAUGACGGUAAGCUAGGAGGAAGCCACGGCUAACUACGUGCCAGCAGCCGCGGUAACAC
rnacentral:rRNA from 1 species